CAGCUGCCUCGCGUGUCAGUCAAACAGCGUUCAGUCAGAAACCAAACUCAAAGCUUUGUCUUUGACAACAGUAUCAACAUAAGGUGAGGGUCUCCGUCUGUCUCCAUCUAGUGGCAAUCAACAGUAUAGAAUGUACAGGAUCAUUUCAAUAAUAACCAACUGCAAGAAGCUAAAGUUUACCAGAUGGAGUGAUGAUCACCAAUCAUGUCGUUGGGCUCAAAGAUUUCUCCAUUAUAGUGGCAUGAGCAGAGGUCAGCAGGCACACAUUCUCCCGCAUCACUGAGGAAGAGUCCUCUUGGGCAGAAACAGCCUUCAUCACACAACCCGUGACAGUCGCUGUCAGGCAGGGAUAAAGACCUACAGGUCUGAUUACACACAUUUCCACACGCCUCGUACACCUGGUCAUCCGGACACGUCAAAUCUGUUCAACAACAAUCAUACACAAUUUUAAACAUUAAUCAUAAUACUUUGACUAAAUAGAAUCCAAAGAACAUGGCCGUGAAAAAUGAUUUGUAAUACAUUUAUUUACAAAAGCGAACAAAAAUGAACAUUUCUUAUACCACAGUAUCCAUGACCCCUCCAGUUAAUCAGCACUCCCUUGGCUGUGCAGGCAGCUGCGUAACUGCGCACAGCAUCACAAAGACAUUCCUGCCCGUCUGCGCAGGUGCAGACAUCAUAGCGACAGUUCUUCAAAUAUGGAUCGGGGUUCACCUCGUAAUGACAGGGUUCAAACUUUACUGAGAGCAGAACUGCGCAGGCUUCUUCUGCAAAACGCACUACAAACAUACACAGAGACAAAAAUCAUCAAGCUUCCACUUAAUGGUGUUUGUUGCCAUCUAGUGUACAUUUGUGUUUUUAAAUGAUGAUAUCAUACAAACAGUUAUUCAUGAUAUCACAACUAAAGGUAUUUACAAAGUUUAAAAUGUUAUUAAAAAUGACAUUUACAUGCUGCUUUGUGUAACAGCAUGUGUGUAUACCUCUCUUAGGAUUUGAGAUACAGGGAUCAGACGGUUGUAUCUGAAUAUUUUCACACUCUGGGUUCAUCUUCCAUGCGUUACCGAAUCCUUCAACGCGCGUCUCCACCAGCCCACCCACCGUUAAGAAGUCGUCUCCUUGGUUACCAUUAUAGUUACCGCACAGACCACAGGUUUUCCCAGCAUAGGCAGGGCUUAGCUGUAAACACACACACACACACACACACAUGCUCCCAUAUUAAGCCUGCAGAAAUAUUAUACUGUAUUUAUAUCCCGGGUUGUGUUUCACAGACAGCUGUAAUGCACUUUUAGGUGCUUGAAAGGUUCUUCGCAAUGAUGCUAUCGCAGAACCAUUUGGUUCCUGAAAGAUUUAGUCAGAGGUUCUUACAAGAACCAUUUCUGUCAUAUCUUUUUAUAAUCUAAAGAACCUUUUCACAGAAAGGUUCCUCAGAUGUUAACGCUUUUUUAUGGAACCAUUCAGCCAAAAUUGUUUCUUUUCUAUAGCAUCAUAAAGCACCUUUAUUUUUAAGAGUGUACAAAUUUGUUCAUAUAGUACAAGGAAAUGAUAAAGCAAUAGUUCACUUGAAUAUAAAACUGAAAAUUAUCUCUCCCUCAUGCCAUCUCAAAUGUAUAAGAUCUUCUUUCUUUGGAUCAACAAUUUUAUAAUAAAAUAAGCAUGGUAAAUUCAAAUAUGUAAGCGCGUCCAUAAUCUUGAAUCUCAUUGGUUCUUGGAUGUCUCAUUACGAAAUACAUGCUGGAACACAAAAUCAGUCAUAAGGGGCUUUUUUAUGAAUAAAUAGGCUUUCCAGUGAUU